rnacentral:rRNA from 1 species
UCCAGACUCCUACGGGAGGCAGCAGUGGGGAAUAUUGCGCAAUGGGGGAAACCCUGACGCAGCAACGCCGCGUGAGUGAGGAAGUAUCUCGGUAUGUAAAGCUCUAUCAGCGGGGAAGAAAGAGGACGGUACCCGACUAAGAAGCCCCGGCUAACUACGUGCCAGCAGCCGCGGUAAUACGUAGGGGGCGAGCGUUAUCCGGAUUUACUGGGUGUAAAGGGCGUGUAGCCGGGUUGACAAGUCAGAUGUGAAAUCCUGCGGCUUAACCGCAGAACUGCAUUUGAAACUGUUGAUCUUGAGUACUGGAGAGGCAGACGGAAUUCCUAGUGUAGCGGUGAAAUGCGUAGAUAUUAGGAGGAACACCAGUGGCGAAGGCGGUCUGCUGGACAGCAACUGACGGUGAGGCGCGAAAGCGUGGGGAGCAAACAGGAUUAGAUACCCCCGUA